rnacentral:rRNA from 1 species
GAUCAUUACAGUAUUCAUUUGCCAGCGCUUAACUGCGCGGCGAAAAACCUUACACACAGUGUCUUUUUGAAACAGAACUCUUGCUUUGGUUUGGCCUAGAGAUAGGUUGGGCCAGAGGUUUAACAAAACACAAUUUAAUUAUUUUUACAGAUAGUCAAAUUUUGAAUUAAUCUUCAAAACUUUCAACAACGGAUCUCUUGGUUCUCGCAUCGAUGAAGAACGCAGCGAAAUGCGAUAAGUAAUAUGAAUUGCAGAUUUUCGUGAAUCAUCGAAUCUUUGAACGCACAUUGCGCCCUCUGGUAUUCCAGAGGGCAUGCCUGUUUGAGCGUCAUUUCUCUCUCAAACCCCCGGGUUUGGUAUUGAGUGAUACUCUUAGUCGGACUAGGCGUUUGCUUGAAAAGUAUUGGCAUGGGUAGUACUGGAUAGUGCUGUCGACCUCUCAAUGUAUUAGGUUUAUCCAACUCGUUGAAUGGUGUGGCGGGAUAUUUCUGGUAUUGUUGGCCCGGCCUUACAACAACCAAACAAGUUUGACCUCAAAUCAGGUAGGAAUACCCGCUGAACUUAAGCAUAUCAAUAAGCGGAGGA